GCUGGUGUAGCUCAGUUGGUAGAGCGGCGCAUUCGUAAUGCGUAGGUCGAGUGUUCGAGUCACUUCUCCAGCACCA
rnacentral:tRNA from 1 species